rnacentral:rRNA from 1 species
UAAAACGUAGGGGGCGAGCGUUGUCCGGAAUUACUGGGCGUAAAGGGCGCGCAGGCGGUUAUCCAAGUCAGGGGUGAAAACUCUGGGCUCAACCCAGAGCGUGCCUUUGAAACUGGGUGACUUGAGGGCAGGAGAGGGGAGUGGAAUUCCCAGUGUAGCGGUGAAAUGCGUAGAUAUUGGGAGGAACACCAGUGGCGAAGGCGGCUCUCUGGCCUAACCCUGACGCUGAGGCGCGAAAGCGUGGGGAUCAAACAGG